rnacentral:rRNA from 1 species
UACGUAGGGUGCGAGCGUUAAUCGGAAUUACUGGGCGUAAAGUGUGCGCAGGCGGCGCCGCAAGUCGAGUGUGAAAGCCCCGGGCUUAACUUGGGAAUUGCGCUCGAAACUAUGGUGCUGGAGUGUGGCAGAGGAAGGUGGAAUUCCACGUGUAGCGGUGAAAUGCGUAGAGAUGUGGAGGAAUACCGAUGGCGAAGGCAGCCUCCUGGGCCAACACUGACGCUCAUGCACGAAAGCGUGGGGAGCAAACAGG